rnacentral:rRNA from 1 species
AACGAACGCUGGCGGCAGGCCUAACACAUGCAAGUCGAACGCCGUAGCAAUACGGAGUGGCAGACGGGUGAGUAACGCGUGGGAACAUACCCUCCGGUUCGGAAUAACUCAGGGAAGCUUGAGCUAAUACUGGAUACGUCCAAGGUUUUAAUCGGCCUUGGAGAAAGAUUUAUCGCCGGAGGAUUGGCCCGNGUCUGAUUAGCUUGUUGGUGAGGUAAUGGCUCACCAAGGCGACGAUCAGUAGCUGGUCUGAGAGGAUGAUCAGCCACAUUGGGACUGAGACACGGCCCAAACUCCUACGGGAGGCAGCAGUGGGGAAUAUUGGACAAUGGGCGCAAGCCUGAUCCAGCCAUGCCGCGUGAGUGAUGAAGGCCUUAGGGUUGU